AAGACUAUACUUUCAGGGAUCAUUUCUGUAGUUGGUCACUGGAGGAGAGCGGUCUCCCCUGAUCGGCGUCACAAGCCACGAGGAGGAUGUGUGCGCUGUCUCCUGAGCGCGAAGCGGGCGGGCGGUGCUGCUUGUGCAGGGGCCGCCCGGCAUUGAUGACCGUUCCCCGUCCUUCGGGGCGUGGGAGGGAGACAGCGCGAGCUGAGUGGU
rfam:Cuculus canorus contig59484, whole genome shotgun sequence.